UACGUAGGGGGCUAGCGUUGUCCGGAUUUAUUGGGCGUAAAGAGCGUGUAGGCGGCCUGGUAGGUCUGCUGUGAAAACUCGAGGCUCAACCUCGAGAUGUCGGCGGAAACCAUCUGGCUAGAGUCCGGAAGAGGAGAAUGGAAUUCCCGGUGUAGCGGUGAAAUGCGCAGAUAUCGGGAGGAACACCGGUGGCGAAGGCGGCAUCCUGGACCGGUAUUGACGCUGAGGCGCGAAAGCUAGGGGAGCAAACGGG
rnacentral:rRNA from 1 species